GAACGCUGGCGGCGUGCUUAACACAUGCAAGUCGAACGAAGAUGCCGGAGUGCUUGCACUUUGGCAGACUGAGUGGCGGACGGGUGAGUAACGCGUGGGUAACCUGCCUCAUACAGGGGAAUAGCAGCUGGAAACGGCUGAUAAAACCGCAUAAGCGCACAGUAUCGCAUGAUGCAGUGUGAAAAACUCCGGUGGUAUGAGAUGGACCCGCGUCUGAUUAGCUUGUUGGUGAGGUAACGGCCCACCAAGGCGACGAUCAGUAGCCGGCCUGAGAGGGUGACCGGCCACAUUGGGACUGAGACACGGCCCAAACUCCUACGGGAGGCAGCAGUGGGGAAUAUUGCACAAUGGGGGAAACCCUGAUGCAGCAACGCCGCGUGAGUGAAGAAGUAUUUCGGUAUGUAAAGCUCUAUCAGCAGGGAAGAAAAUGACGGUACCUGACUAAGAAGCACCGGCUAAAUACGUG
rnacentral:rRNA from 1 species